GUCCUGGUUAAGACCAUACUUAUAGGUCUUUAGAUUAAAGAUCCACUGGGCUUCUUUCUUAUUGAACAAAGUCUCAAUAUUCCCCCCUCUCCAGUGUCUCUCUACUUUAUCUAUUCCAAAGGCCAGAAAAGUACUCAAUUGGAAUUGUGGACAAAUGGCACAAUGUCUUGGCACACUGUUAUCUGCUUUAAAAAAAAAAAAAAAUUAUAUUGUAAAAGUGUUCUGUAAGUCUCACACGCAGUUUGCAAAUAGUACAGUCUAUAUAUUGUGCACCACAACCACACUGCAAUAAAUAUAUUACGGAGUACAGUAAGG